UACGGAGGGUGCGAGCGUUGUCCGGAAUCACUGGGCGUAAAGGGCGCGUAGGCGGCAUGCCAAGCGUGUGGUGAAAGCCCGGGGCUCAACCCCGGGUCGGCCGUGCGGACUGGCGUGCUUGAGCACUGUAGGGGCGGGUGGAAUUCCGGGUGUAGCGGUGGAAUGCGUAGAGAUCCGGAAGAACACCGGUGGCGAAGGCGGCCCGCUGGGCAGGAAGACGGAGCAAUCCGUCGGCUGACGCUGAGGCGCGACAGCGUGGGGAGCAAACGGG
rnacentral:rRNA from 1 species